AUCAGAGGAUGUCCGAAUGGGGGAACCCCGCCGCAUGCGAGUGCGGUGACCCGCACCUGAAUGUAUAGGGUGUGUGGAGGGAACGCGGGGAAGUGAAACAUCUCAGUACCCGUAGGAAGAGAAAAUAAGAAUGAUUCCGGGAGUAGUGGCGAGCGAAACUGGAUGAGCCUAAACCGUGUGCGUGUCAAGCGUGCUGGUGUUGCGUACAUGGUGUUGUGGGGUGUGUGUGUUCGGUUCAGCAUGACCGAGACGCUGAUGAGUGCNNNCGGAGUGGGUGAGAGUCCCGUAGACGAAACGCGUGGCCCCGGUGUGACACGUGUCCCCGAGUAGCACGGAACUCGUGGAAUUCCGUGUGAAUCUGCCAGGACCACCUGGUAAGGCGAAAUACUUCCUGAUGACCGAUAGCGGAUCAGUACCGUGAGGGAAUGGUGAAAAGUACCCCGGGAGGGGAGUGAAAGAGUACCUGAAACCAUGUGCUUACAAUCCGUCAGAGCACCCGUGUUGGUGUGAUGGCGUGCCUUUUGAAGAAUGAGCCUGCGAGUUAGCGGUGCG
rnacentral:rRNA from 1 species